UACGAAGGGGGCUAGCGUUGCUCGGAAUCACUGGGCGUAAAGGGUGCGUAGGCGGGUCUUUUAAGUCAGGGGUGAAAUCCUGGAGCUCAACUCCAGAACUGCCUUUGAUACUGAAGAUCUUGAGUUCGGGAGAGGUGAGUGGAACUGCGAGUGUAGAGGUGAAAUUCGUAGAUAUUCGCAAGAACACCAGUGGCGAAGGCGGCUACUG
rnacentral:rRNA from 1 species